CCCUUAGAUGUUCUGGGCUGCACGCGCGCUACACUGACGUACGCAACGAGUGUCCUUUACCGAGAGGUAUGGGUAAUCAUUUGAGUGUACGUCGUGAUGGGGAUAGAAUAUUGUAAUUAUUACUCUUCAACGAGGAAUUCCUAGUAAGCGCAAGUCAGCAGCUUGCGCUGAUUACGUCCCUGCCCUUUGUACACACCGCCCGUCGCUCCUACCGAUGGGUGAUCCGGUGAAUGAUUCGGACUCGGUUGCCUCUAGCCACUAGCGGCGCUCGAGAAAGUUUUGUGAACCUUAUCACUUGGAGGAAGGAGAAGUCGUAACA
rnacentral:rRNA from 1 species